rnacentral:rRNA from 1 species
AACGAACGCUGGCGGCAUGCCUAACACAUGCAAGUCGAACGAGACCUUCGGGUCUAGUGGCGCACGGGUGCGUAACGCGUGGGAACCUGCCCUUAGGUUCGGAAUAACUCCCCGAAGGGGGUGCUAAUACCGGAUAAUUUCUUCGGACCAAAGAUUUAUCGCCUUUGGAUGGGCCCGCGUUGGUUUAGCUUGUUGGUAGGGUAAAAGCCUACCAAGGCGACGAUCCAUAGCUGGUCUGAGAGGAUGAUCAGCCACACUGGGACUGAGACACGGCCCAGACUCCUACGGGAGGCAGCAGUGGGGAAUAUUGGACAAUGGGCGAAAGCCUGAUCCAGCAAUGCCGCGUGAGUGAUGAAGGCCUUAGGGUUGUAAAGCUCUUUUACCCGGGAUGAUAAUGACAGUACCGGGAGAAUAAGCUCCGGCUAACUCCGUG